rnacentral:rRNA from 1 species
UGAGUAACCUGCCCUUAACUCUGGGAUAAGCCUGGGAAACUGGGUCUAAUACCGGAUAUGACUCCUCAUCGCAUGGUGGGGGGUGGAAAGUCUUUUUGUGGUUUUGGAUGGACUCGCGGCCUAUCAGCUUGUUGGUGAGGUAAUGGCUCACCAAGGCGACGACGGGUAGCCGGCCUGAGAGGGCGACCGGCCACACUGGGACUGAGACACGGCCCAGACUCCGUACGGGAGCAG